rnacentral:rRNA from 1 species
CCUACGGGAGGCAGCAGUGGGGAAUAUUGGGCAAUGGGCGCAAGCCUGACCCAGCAACGCCGCGUGAAGGAAGAAGGCUUUCGGGUUGUAAACUUCUUUUCUCAGGGACGAAGAAAGUGACGGUACCUGAGGAAUAAGCCACGGCUAACUACGUGCCAGCAGCCGCGGUAAUACGUAGGUGGCAAGCGUUAUCCGGAUUUACUGGGUGUAAAGGGCGUGUAGGCGGGGAAGCAAGUCAGAUGUGAAAACCACGGGCUCAACCUGUGGCCUGCAUUUGAAACUGUUUUUCUUGAGUGCUGGAGAGGCAAUCGGAAUUCCGGGUGUAGCGGUGAAAUGCGUAGAUAUACGGAGGAACACCAGUGGCGAAGGCGGAUUGCUGGACAGUAACUGACGCUGAGGCGCGAAAGCGUGAGGAGCAAACAGGAUUAGAUACCCUAGUAGUC